rnacentral:rRNA from 1 species
CUUGACAUAUCUAGAAUCCUGCAGAGAUGCGGGAGUGCCUUCGGGAAUUAGAAUACAGGUGCUGCAUGGCUUCGUCAGCUCGUGUCGUGAGAUCGUUGGGUUAAGUCCCGCAACGAGCGCAACCCUUUGUCCUUAGUUACCAGCGGGUUAAGCCGGGAACUCUAAGGAUACUGGCCAGUGACAAACUGGAGGAAGGCGGGGGACGACGUCAAGUCAUCAUGGCCCUUACGACCAGGGCUACACACGUGCUACAAUGGUAGGUACAGAGGGCAGCUACACAGCGAUGUGAUGCGAAUCUCAAAAAGCCUAUCGUAGUCCAGAUUGGAGUCUGCAACUCGAAUCCAUGAAGUAGGAAUCGCUAGUAAUCCGGAUCAGAAUGCCCGGUGAAUACGUUCCCGGGCCUUGUACACACCGCCCGUCACACCAUGGGAGUUGAUUGCACCAGAAGUGGAUAGCCUAACCGUAAGGAAGGCGUUCACCACGGUGUGGUUGAUGACUG